AGCGCUCACUGAUUAACACCCCCCCCCCCGCCCCCUUUCCAAAGCCACACUUCCCCAGGGGCCAAGAAGGUCUUGAGAUAUUCCGGGAUCAAUCCAUCAGCAGGACAACACUGGGAACUUCCUGUUAAACAGCCCCAUGGAUGCUCCAAGGGAAAUAUCCGAAAGGUUAGUGAGGGAACAACACGUCCCUGAAAGUAGACGGUGCAACCUGACUUCAGCUGCACUAGGACCUGGAUCGACCAGCGGGAUCUGGAAGAAAAGUGACAGGCUGAUGUCAUGCAUAAACAAAGACUUGAAGCUGAAUUUCAGGCCGGCUGGGGAAGCCUCCUGGAGGAGAAACUCUCUGGAAUGGAUACUAAGGUCUCGCUGGGUUUCUGAGAGGCCACCAUUCCUAGUCUAUGUAGUUUUUGUUUGUCAGUUUGACACCAACUAGUGUCUUCUGGGGAGAGCAGCCUUAAUUGGGAAAAUACCCCCAUCAGAUUGGCCUGUAGACCUGUUUAUGGAGCAUUUUCUUAACUGAUGAUUGAUGAGGGAGGGCCCAGAUCACUGUGGGCUGUGCCACCUCUGUAAAGGAGGUUCUGAAGUGUUAAGAGAGCAAGCUGAGCAAACCAUACGGAACAAGCCAGUAAGUUGUCUUCCUCCGUGGCGCUGGCUUCAGGUCCUGCCCUGGUUGAGUGCCUGGCUUCCCUCAAUGAUCCAGUGUGGCUGGGAUAAGGAAGCCGAAUAAACCCUUUCCUUCCUAACUCGCUUUUGCCUUGGGACAUUUGGAUACAAGGAGGGACAUUUGGAGGGCACCCUCAGGCCCUAAGGACCCUGGACCAGGAAUGGGGGUGAGAGGAGCUACCCAGAAGAGGACAAGUCUUCCAGGCUGGGUACCACGUGCUACAGGAGGAGGGAAAGUUCCACCAUCCUCUUCCAGGAAAUAAAAGAAAAGCAACGCUCCUCCAGGGUGUCUGUGCAAACUCUUCCUGCGCGUUCUUGGUGAUGCUUCAUUGUUUUUAGUUUCCAGCGCUGGAGAUCACACACCCGGCUUCACUCCUGAGCCUUUCAUGCUUUUAACCAGGUACUAGGAUCAGGUGGCUAAAAUUAAAGAGGUUCGAAGGAAUUCACAGUGACAGAUCCAUUCUUCAUCCAGGACCUGCUAUGGGCAGCCAGUGUCUUCCACAUAGGAUGCAUUACGCUGUGGCUGGCACCCAGGACCUACUCACAGAAGUGUCAGUGAUAAGAUCUUGAUUCUGAGCACAUUCGAAUUUCAAGGCCAGUAGAUCUUCCCCUUCCUUUGUUUUAUGAACACAAGUCCCCAGAAAGAAGCUACAUCUUCAAACUGAAAUCUUCUGUAAGGCUCAUGAAUCAUUGAAAAGUUCAAUGACUGUGGAGAGGUUACAAUGUUCCUGGUCCAGAAGUUGUUUAGUACUUCUCUUGGGCUAUUUUUAGUACCUUAAGUAGCCAUUUGUUUCCCCACCUCUGCCAGACCUAACCUCCUGUAACAAACAGAUACAAACAGAUCUCCUUUAGGGAAAUAUUAACAAAAUCGCAGUUUCCAAAAGGCUUUAGCGGCUGAAGCCUAUAACAGAGGUCUCCUCACCCUGCUGGAACCACCUGCCUAAUGUUUCUGCCAAUGUAAAAGUGUCUUGGCUUGCAGCCUUCCUUGUUACAUUACUCUAAAACCUUCCUGAAACUGCUUUCAAAUAGGAAUGUGGAAUUUGGGCUCACUUAGAUGAAUGGAAAAAAAAAAAAGAAAUAAAAAGGAAAGAAAAGGAAUAAUUAUCCUUUUAGUGACAUAAUGCAUUUUUCCUUCCCAGAAUUCCUGCCCCUGAGGAUGGUCUCAUCAGCCACUGUGAGAUUAGGAUGGGUUUGUCUGCCUAGAUUUCUUUGGGAUGCCAGCCCAGGGCUCAGGUUUUAGCCUUGCUUGACUUUCAAACUCUGCCUGACUUUAAACUCUUUGAUUCAACUGAGAAAGUGAAUCCAUUCCUGUACCUGGAGGGUAUCAGUCUCUCUGCCUCAGAGCUUGAGUCUUCAAACUAGAUGGACUCAGUAAAGAAUGUGAAUGUGCUCGGCUUCGGGCCAUGUCUCCUUCCCAAGGGAUAGUGUUGCACAUUUGCAGGACACCGGUUUCAGAGCUUUGCUGGUGUCAGUAAUGUGGAGAGGGAUCCUGACCACAUAAAAUAAUCAUGAACAUGAAUAUGAAUAAACUCUAGUAGUUCACACCCUGACCAAAUUUCUUAGGAGACCUAGGUCCCAAUCUUUUCACACAAUCCAGAACAAAACACAGCUCAUAUUGACACACACAUUUAAGUAAGUGAGAUAUUUAAUAAGUUAAAAAUAAUAGUGAAGAGGUUUUUAAAAAAUUCUUAUUUUGCUACAGCGUCUUACUAUGUUGCCCAGGAUGACACUAAACUCACAAUCCUCCUGCCUUAGCUUCCCAAGUGCUGAGAUUAUGAGCAUGCAUCACCAUGCCUCCCUAUAAAGAAAGUUUAGUGAAUUUCUGCUACAUGCUACAACAUGGGUGAUCACUGAAAACACUGUGCUCUGGGAAGGAAAGCAUCCUGGAAGGGACAAUUAUCAUAUGAACUGGUGUGAAUGCACAGAAAGCCAAAGCACAGAAGCUGGAGUCAGAUCAGUAGCUCCAGGCUGGGGAUGGUGGGAGUGGGGGUGGCUUACUAAUGGUUACAGGCUUUCAGGGCAAGCAAAAUGUUAUAAACUAGACUGUGGCUGCUGUUGCUCAGCUCUGUGAAUAUACUAAAAAGCAUGGACCUGAAUGCAGUAAGUAGGCGGAUUUUAGGAUGUAUGAAGUAUGUCUCGGGUUGGAGAGAUGGCUCAGCGGUUAAGAGCACUGACUGCUCUUCCAAAGGUCCUGAGUUCAAACCCAGCAACCACAUGGUGGCUCACAACCACCUGUAAUGAGAUCUGACGCCCUCUUCUGGUGUGUCUGAAGACAGCUACAGUGUACUUACAUAUAAUAAUAAGUAAAUCUUUUUUAAAAAAGAAAUAUAUCUCAUUGAGACCAUAAAACAAUUGGUUGGAAUGACCAACACCCAGUCUGAAAGGACAGCUGUAAAAUCCUCACAUAUUCAUGGUUCACACAAGGAGGACAGCUGCCAAAGAUCGUGAGUGUGAGCAAGCUGGAAGAAUCUUCAUUUCCCUACUUGAGAGAAUGGAUAACUGAAGCACAGAAUCACAGUCAAGACCUACAACAGAACACAACAGCUUCAACAGAUGGAUCAAAUCUACAAGUCAACAUGGUUAGAGCACAAAGUUGUCGCAUUGUGUGCUAAAAUCAUAUUGGGAGACACAGUGUAGUGAUGCAUGCCUUUAUUCCCAGCAAGGAGGAGGAAGAGGAAGAGGCAGGUGGAUCUCUAUGAGUUCAAGGCCAGCCUGAUUGUAUUAGAGAGAUUUUUUUUUCCAUUGUCAUAAAACGCCAUGACAAUAAACACCUUGGGGAGGAAAGGUUUUAUUUUGCUUAUAGUUCCAUAUCACAGCCCAUCAUCAAAGGAAAUCAGUGUGGAAACUCAAGGCAGGAACUGAAGCAGAGGUCAUUGAGGAGUGCCACAUACUGGCUUGCUCCCCAUAGCCUGCUCAACCUGCUUCCUUUCUUUCUAAGAUUGUAUUUUUAAGUAUGUGUAUGUAUGCCACACACAUGCACAUGCACACACACAUGUAUGCACGCACGUGUGCAAGAGUGCCAGGUUCCCUAGAGCUUGAUUUACAAGCACUUAUGAGCUGCUUGGCAUGAGUUCUGGGAACUUCUGGAAAAUAGCAUAUGCUCUUAGUUGCUGAGCCAUCUCUCCUGCAUUCUUAUCAUAACCAGUUCCUUUCAUUAAAAUAAGUUAUCCUAUUUUGUAUAUGAGUGUUUUGCCUGCAUCUGUUUCUGUGUACUCAGUGCCUGCAGAGGUCAGAAGAGAGUGUCAGAUUCCCUAAAACUACAAUUUCAGAAGGUUGUGAGUGGCCACAUGAGUGCUAGGAAUUGAACCCAGGUGGUCUGCAAGGGCAGACAAGGCUUGUAACCCCUGAGCCAUUUCUCUAGUCCCCCCAUUACCAUUUUUAAAGUGCACAGUUCAGUGGCAUUGAGUACAGCUAUAGCCACCUUUCAAUUCUGGGACAUUUUU